rnacentral:rRNA from 1 species
UACGUAGGGUCCAAGCGUUAUCCGGAAUCACUGGGCGUAAAGCGUGCGUAGGUGGGUAAUUAAUGCGAUGCGAAAUCCUGUGGCUCAACCAUACGGACUGUACCGCAUACUGAUUACCUAGAGGAUAUGAGAGGCAAGUGGAAUUACCGGUGUAGCAGUGAAAUGCGUAGAUAUCGGUAGGAACACCAAUGGCGAAGGCAGCUUGCUGGCAUAUUUCUGACGCUAAGGCACGAAAGCGUGGGGAGCGAACAGG